rnacentral:misc_RNA from 2 species
AACGCACAUUGCGCCCGCUAGUAUUCUGGCGGGCAUGCCUGUUCGAGCGUCAUUUCAACCCUCAAGCCCCCGGGCUUGGUGUUGGGGAACGGCCCGCCCCUAGCGGCAGGCCGGCCCCGAAAUCUAGUGGCGGUCUCGCGAUAGCCUCCUCUGCGUAGUAGCAAUAUCUCGCACUGGUGCUGAGCGACGACCACGCCGUUAAACCCCCCACUUUCUGAAGGUUGACCUCGGAUCAGGUAGGAAUACCCGCUGAACUUAA